rnacentral:tRNA from 1 species
GGAUGUAGCUCAGUGGUACAGCACUUGCCUAGCAUGAGUGAGGUCCUGGGUUCCAUCCCCAGAACUG